UGGGGAAUAUUGCACAAUGGGCGCAAGCCUGAUGCAGCCAUGCCGCGUGUAUGAAGAAGGCCUUCGGGUUGUAAAGUACUUUCAGUCGGGAGGAAGGUGUCAAGGUUAAUAACCUUGGCAAUUGACGUUACCGACAGAAGAAGCACCGGCUAACUCCGUGCCAGCGGCCGCGGUAAUACGGAGGGUGCAAGCGUUAAUCGGAAUUACUGGGCGUAAAGCGCACGCAGGCGGUUGAUUGAGUCAGAUGUGAAAUCCCCGGGCUUAACCCGGGAAUUGCAUCUGAUACUGGUCAGCUAGAGUCUUGUAGAGGGGGGUAGAAUUCCAGGUGUAGCGGUGAAAUGCGUAGAGAUCUGGAGGAAUACCGGUGGCGAAGGCGGCCCCCUGGACAAAGACUGACGCUCAGGUGCGAAAGCGUGGGGAGCAAACAGG
rnacentral:rRNA from 1 species